UACGUAGGGUGCAAGCGUUUAAUCGGAAUUACUGGGCGUAAAGCGUGCGCAGGCGGUUUUGUAAGUCUGUCGUGAAAUCCCCGGGCUCAACCUGGGAAUUGCGAUGGAGACUGCAAGGCUAGAAUCUGGCAGAGGGGGGUAGAAUUCCACGUGUAGCAGUGAAAUGCGUAGAGAUGUGGAGGAACACCGAUGGCGAAGGCAGCCCCCUGGGUCAAGAUUGACGCUCAUGCACGAAAGGCGUGGGGAGCA
rnacentral:rRNA from 1 species